GUGCCAGCCGCCGCGGUAAUACAGAGGGUGCGAGCGUUGUCCGGAAUCACUGGGCGUAAAGGGCGCGUAGGCGGCCUGGUAAGUAGGGGGUGAAAUCCCGCGGCUCAACCGCGGGGCUGCCUCCUAGACUGCCGGGCUCGAGCACAGUAGAGGCAGGUGGAAUUCCCGGUGUAGCGGUGGAAUGCGUAGAGAUCGGGAAGAACAUCGGUGGCGAAGGCGGCCUGCUGGGCUGUUGCUGACGCUGAGGCGCGACAGCGUGGGGAGCAAACAGGAUUAGAAACCCCUGUAGUCC
rnacentral:rRNA from 1 species